GACGAACCGUGCAAACGUUGUUCGGAAUCACUGGGCUUAAAGGGCGCGUAGGCGGGUGGUCAAGUCAGGGGUGAAAUCUUUCGGCUCAACCGGAAAAUAGCCUCUGAUACUGACCGUCUUGAGCGAGGUAGGGGCAUGUGGAACUUCCGGUGGAGCGGUGAAAUGCGUUGAUAUCGGAAGGAACGCCGGUGGCGAAAGCGACGUGCUGGACCUCUUCUGACGCUGAUGCGCGAAAGCUAGGGGAGCGAACGGG
rnacentral:rRNA from 1 species